AGUGGGAGAAAUUGAAGAGAGAAUGAAGCGCGGCCGCAGCGAAAGAAAUGAAGAAAUGAGAAAAAAAUUAAGAGAUUUUGGAGGUUAUUUUGUGUCUAAAAUAUUUUGAUAAGAAAUAUUUUACUUCGCAACGGAAGCACAAAAGAGGCAGGAAUCAGUCGAUUGUAGGUAAGAGAAUUGUCUAACGUAUCAGGUUCGUUCGAUGAAGUUGGGUCCAGAUCGUCG